GAUGAACGCUGGCGGCGUGCCUAAUACAUGCAAGUCGAGCGAACAGACGAGGUGCUUGCUCCUCUGACGUUAGCGGCGGACGGGUGAGUAACACGUGGAUAACCUACCUAUAAGACUGGGAUAACUUCGGGAAACCGGAGCUAAUACCGGAUAAUAUAUUGAACCGCAUGGUUCAAUAGUGAAAGACGGUUUUGCUGUCACUUAUAGAUGGAUCCGCUCCGCAUUAGCUAGUUGGUAAGGUAACGGCUUACCAAGGCGACGAUGCGUAGCCGACCUGAGAGGGUGAUCGGCCACACUGGAACUGAGCCACGGUCCAGACUCCUACGGGAGGCAGCAGUAGGGAAUCUUCCGCAAUGGGCGAAAGCCUGACGGAGCACCGCCGCGUGAGUGAUGAAGGUCUUCGGAUCGUAAAACUCUGUUAUUAGGGAAGAACAAAUGUGUAAGUAACUAUGCACGUCUUGACGGUACCUAAUCAGAAAGCCACGGCUAACUACGUG
rnacentral:rRNA from 1 species